UCCGUAGGUGAACCUGCGGAGGGAUCAUUACCGAGUUUACAACUCCCAAACCCAUGUGAACAUACCUACUGUUGCUUCGGCGGGAUUGCCCCGGGCGCCUCGUGUGCCCCGGAUCAGGCGCCCGCCUAGGAAACUUAACUCUUGUUUUAUUUUGGAAUCUUCUGAGUAGUUUUUACAAAUAAAUAAAAACUUUCAACAACGGAUCUCUUGGUUCUGGCAUCGAUGAAGAACGCAGCGAAAUGCGAUAAGUAAUGUGAAUUGCAGAAUUCAGUGAAUCAUCGAAUCUUUGAACGCACAUUGCGCCCGCCAGUAUUCUGGCGGGCAUGCCUGUCUGAGCGUCAUUUCAACCCUCAUGCCCCUAGGGCGUGGUGUUGGGGAUCGGCCAAAGCCCGCGAGGGACGGCCGGCCCCUAAAUCUAGUGGCGGACCCGUCGUGGCCUCCUCUGCGAAGUAGCGAUAUUCCGCAUCGGAGAGCGACGAGCCCCUGCCGUUAAACCCCCAACUUUCCAAGGUUGACCUCAGAUCAGGUAGGAAUACCCGCUGAACUUAAGCAUAUCAAUAAGCGGAGGA
rnacentral:rRNA from 1 species